UACGUAGGGACCAAGCGUUGUUCGGAUUUACUGGGCGUAAAGGGCGCGUAGGCGGCCUUCUAAGUCAGACGUGAAAUCCCUCGGCUCAACCGAGGAACUGCGUCUGAUACUGGAAGGCUUGAAUCCGGGAGAGGGAUGUGGAAUUCCAGGUGUAGCGGUGAAAUGCGUAGAUAUCUGGAGGAACACCGGUGGCGAAGGCGGCAUCCUGGACCGGUAUUGACGCUGAGGCGCGAAAGCUAGGGGAGCAAACGGG
rnacentral:rRNA from 1 species